UACGAAGGGGGCUAGCGUUGCUCGGAAUCACUGGGCGUAAAGCGCACGUAGGCGGCUUGUUAAGUCAGGGGUGAAAUCCUGGAGCUCAACUCCAGAACUGCCUUUGAUACUGGCGAGCUUGAGUUCGGGGAGAGGUGAGUGGAACUGCGAGUGUAGAGGUGAAAUUCGUAGAUAUUCGCAAGAACACCAGUGGCGAAGGCGGCUCACUGGCCCGAUACUGACGCUGAGGCGCGAAAGCGUGGGGAGCAAACAGG
rnacentral:rRNA from 1 species